AGUCCAUCUGCCCUCAAACAGCAUUUCAGCUCGGUUUGUCCCUCUUUGUUGUUUGUAAAAGACUUCAAGUGUCGAGUCCGGAUCAUCCUCAUAUAAACAGCAGCACAGCCAGAAGACUCUGACUUCAUAACGGGUUUACAGCUAUGGGUUCUUCAGCGAAAAGCAACAGUCCCAUCACUACACAUGUGCUGAACACUGGGGACGGGGUCCCAGCGGCAAGAGUGGCCAUCAGUCUACACCGCCUGGACCCCCGCAUGGCCAUCUGGAACCUCAUAACUAUCG